AUGAUUUCCCUAGUAACGGCGAGUGAAGAGGAAAGAGCUCAAAGUUGGAACCUGUCUGGCUUAGCUAGACCGGAUUGUAAACUGUAGAAGUGUUUUCCAGGCACGCCAGGUAAAUAAGUCCUUUGGAACAGGGCAUCAUAGAGGGUGAGAAUCCCGUCUUUGGCCUGAGCAGUUGUCUAUUGUGAUACACUUUCAAAGAGUCAGGUUGUUUGGGAAUGCAGCCUAAAUUGGGUGGUAAAUCUCACCUAAAGCUAAAUAUUUGCGAGAGACCGAUAGCGAACAAGUACCGUGAGGGAAAGAUGAAAAGAACUUUGAAAAGAGAGUUAAACAGUAUGUGAAAUUGUUAAAAGGGAACCGUUUGGAGCCAGACUGGCUUGACUGUAAUCAAUCUAGGUUUCGACCUGGAUGCACUUGCGGUCUUUUGCCUGCCAACGACAAUUUGAUUUGGGGGAAAAAACAUUGAGGAAUGUGGCCUUUCGGGGUGUUAUAGCCUCUUUGAAAAUACCCUGGAUUGGAUUGAGGAACGCAGCGGAUGCCUUUAGGCAAGAUGGCUGGGCGCUUUUGCUGAUAGAUGCUAGAAUUUCUGCUUCGGGUGGUGCUAGUGUUUAAAAGUAAAACUCGUUUAGUUUAUUUUUUAUCCGCUUAGGUUGUUGGCUUAAUGACUCUAAAUGACCCGUCUU
rnacentral:rRNA from 1 species